AGGAUCCGAAGAAACCUUCCGCGCACAUUGACUCCACUAAUCGAGGAGAUGUCACUUAUAAAGUAAACGAAGUUGUUAAAGAUUGGAAUCUCAAGUCUGCCUACAGCCAUCUUGCAGGCGGUAUGAAGUACCAUGACGGGAAACUGACAGUGCCCAUCUCUGGACGGUACUACAUCUACGAACAAAUUUACUAUCGCGGGUAUAGAGGGAAACCCGUAAGGAUUUCUCUCCUUGUUAACAACAAAAUCGUCGCUAUGGUCCACCCAACACACGACACGAAACGCAGACUUUGCACAUUCGACAGGCGGGGUGUUCUACCUUAAAGCUGGAGAUGUCAUUACGGUGGCGGCCACACAUUGGGCUGGGAUAGCUUUCAUGCACACGCACCACAGUUUCUUUGGCGCAUUUUUGAUCUGAACGCCUUGUCAAGCUCCCGUCCUGGAUAACUCCUUUGGAAAAAAUACGUGGAUAGAGGGAGGUUACUGAAUCGCUAUCACUAGUAGCUGCAUCGGUUCGCAAAAUGAUUUCUGGCUAUUAUACAAGGGUGUAAAUUUAUGGUUUACAGAAAAAUAAAGGAUUAUAAAAGAGGGCAAUCUGUGAUUUGUUUGUUUGUUUGUUUGUUUGUUUUUACCAUUACCGAACAACAAUUUAGAGAGCGAUACUUACUAACCUUCUCCGCAAUACCCUGUACCGUAUUUUCUCGAUUAAACGUCCCCGGGCUCACGGAUCAGGCGUUUAUGGACUUUUGCAGUUUAUUCGAGCCUGAAGUUUAUUAGAGUUUUUAUUCAUUAUUUUUAGGGCUUUAAGAUAUCUUGUAGUUAUAUGUAAACCUUAUUUUGACUCGAAUAUAAAUUCCUUGAGGGUCUUAUUUACGAAAUCUACGUGGGGGAUCUGGCGUUUAAUCGAGAAAAUAUGAAAUAUGGUAUUUUUCCUUUCCUCGCAAUUUACCCGUCAAUGUCCCCGUCGUCCAACCAAACAUCAUCGUCUACUAGCCGCGAAAAAAUUACCCGUGAGAGCUAGAGCAAAGCAUGCUUACAGAAUUCUAACCGCCAGACCACCAUUAGCCUACUAAAAGAAGAUUGGAGCAAAAAUGGAAGCGAUUUGAUAUACAUUCCUGCAUGUCGCUUCCCUGUCAAUAACUUUUUUUCUGAUAGUACCGAAGCCUUCGGUACUAUCAGAGUUAUUCGAUCGGUCGCUGAUCCAAACUAUCCCGGCGACGCCUGUUCCAGUCAAAAUACUUCAUAAUUCUAUCAAUGACAAAUAAUUUAGACCUGGUGAUCUUUGAGUAUAGUGCUGAAUGUUAUUCUGAUGAUAAUAGAAUUAGGUAGAAUUUUAUAACUCGCUCACCUAGUCAAGCAAUUAAGCACUGGCGAUUUUAUACGUUUCCUAUUGAAUAAACGUACUACGAAGAUACCAGUAAGGAUAUGCUUUGUGCUCUCAGAUCAGAGUAGUUUUUAUUUGAGUCUGCUACACUACACGAUUGGCUUAAAAAACUCGCGUCAUUUUUUUCCCAUCAGGGCCUUAUUGUUCAGAGCCCGAUUAAGAGAACCCAGGAUUAGCGAAAAUUUUGAUUUCAAUUUUUAAACUUUUCGGUAAGGUUUUUGGUUUACAUUGUUGGCCCUUCUGUUUUUAGUUUCAGUCAACACAAACAACGCAAAACAUAAGCAUUGAAAAACAAUUUUUUCAAUAAAAAUUAAUACUUCGGUUAACUUUUAAUCCUGGGUUAGCAUUAACAAUUUGGCAUAAAUUUCACUGUUCUCGGAACUUGAUGUUUCUAUGGCCGUUUAUUAACUUUCAUGCGGUUAAUUUUACUUUUUUAGUCUUAUUUUUAGCAUUGUUUAAUUGAUUUUGUUUACUUUUGAGUAACUAUUGGCGCUUUGGAAAAUCAAAAAAUUCAAGAUAGUUGACCUAGAAUGGUGCUAUUCGGAUAACGGGACGUCUUUAUCCUAUGUUGCUUACAGCAAAACAGAGAUCUUUUGACCUCUUAUAUACCGUGUGAGUCUCGUUGUCCUUGCGUAAAUAUUUUUGACGUUACGAAGGGAGGGGGGAGGAGGGUAAGGGUGAAUCUGUCCCAGCCCUGGUCGUAAGAGAUUAAAAAAGCCCGGUCUGAAAAACCAAGUGCGCAGAACCUACUGUGGAAUAUCGGCACGAGGUAUUGACAGACGAGGGGUUGAUAUUGUCGCAGUACACUCCCAAGCACGUUCGGCUGGCUAAUAAGAGAUUUAUUACAUGACUGAUAAUGUUAGAAAAGAAUCCCACCAUAACAAACUGUGAAGACAACAUAAAAUGUAAUAGCGCAACUCUGUUUGAGAGCCUGACGUUUUC
rnacentral:lncRNA from 1 species